CAUCUGGAGAAAAUCUGCUGUUAAGCCAUGCAGUUUCCCGUAACCUGAGAUAAUGCCACUAUUCCUUGUAAAAAUGAGAACAUACCUUCUCUCCAGGAGGAGGGAACUAAAGUCAGAGCCAAGUCUGAUUCUGGCUCUAAGUUCAGGAUUUCUGACUACUGGACAUUCUUUCUUAAGCUUGCGUGGUGACAGAAUUCUUCCUUUUAGAUGAGAAGCAAACUCAGUGGGAAUGCAGAGAGGAAAUUUCCCAUAACUCCAACUCCUGGGAAGCUCACGGCAGGCACAGGUGAGGCCCAGCAUCCAGAGGGCUGGGGAUGGUGUGGGCGUCUGGACCACAGGACUUCUUCCAACUGGAACAAAGAAGCACGUGGGGGUAAGCCUCAGUCUCUCAAGUAACAGUUCCUGGGUUCAUACUGUGUCCCUCACUCUUUCGUUGUCUGGAUUAGAACCUCUUGGACCUCCGCCUUCUUCAUCUGUAAAAUGGCUGAAAUACUAGUGGCUAUGUCACAGAGUUAUUAUAAGGACUAAAUGACAUUAAUAAAACUGUGUCUGGCUCCCCGGAAGCACUUAA